UGCUGGCGGCGCGCCUUACACAUGCAAGUCGAACGAGACAUAGGGAGCUUGCUUCCUUGAUCGAGUGGCGAACGGGUGAGUAACGCGUGAGGAACCUGCCUCAAAGAGGGGGACAACAGUUGGAAACGACUGCUAAUACCGCAUAAGCCCACGACCCGGCAUCGGGAAGAGGGAAAAGGAGCAAUCCGCUUUGAGAUGGCCUCGCGUCCGAUUAGCUAGUUGGUGAGGUAACGGCCCACCAAGGCGACGAUCGGUAGCCGGACUGAGAGGUUGAACGGCCACAUUGGGACUGAGACACGGCCCAGACUCCUACGGGAGGCAGCAGUGGGGAAUAUUGCACAAUGGGGGAAACCCUGAUGCAGCGACGCCGCGUGGAGGAAGAAGGUCUUCGGAUUGUAAACUCCUGUUGUUGAGGAAGAUAAUGACGGUACUCAACAAGGAAGUGACGGCUAACUACGUGCCAGCAGCCGCGGUAAAACGUAGGUCACAAGCGUUGUCCGGAAUUACUGGGUGUAAAGGGAGCGCAGGCGGGCGAUCAAGUUGGAAGUGAAAUCCAUGGGCUCAACCCAUGAACUGCUUUCAAAACUGGUCGUCUUGAGUAGUGCAGA
rnacentral:rRNA from 1 species